AAGUCCCGCAACGAGCGCAACCCUUACCUUCAAUUGCCAGCACAUUAUGGUGGGAACUUUGAAGGAACUGCCGGUGAUAAGCCGGAGGAAGGUGGGGAUGACGUCAAGUCCUCAUGGCCCUUACGGGCCGGGCUACACACGUGAUACAAUGGUAACUACAAAGGGCAGCGAAGGAGCGAUCUGGAGCAAAUCUCAAAAAGUUACCUCAGUUCGGAUUGCACUCUGCAACUCGAGUGCAUGAAGUUGGAAUCGCUAGUAAUCGUAGAUCAGCGCGCUACGGUGAAUACGUUCCCGGGUCUU
rnacentral:rRNA from 1 species